rnacentral:rRNA from 1 species
UAGGGAAUCUUCGGCAAUGGGGGCAACCCUGACCGAGCAACGCCGCGUGAGUGAAGAAGGUUUUCGGAUCGUAAAGCUCUGUUGUAAGUCAAGAACGGGUGUGAGAGUGGAAAGUUCACACUGUGACGGUAGCUUACCAGAAAGGGACGGCUAACUACGUGCCAGCAGCCGCGGUAAUACGUAGGUCCCGAGCGUUGUCCGGAUUUAUUGGGCGUAAAGCGAGCGCAGGCGGUUUGAUAAGUCUGAAGUUAAAGGCCGUGGCUCAACCAUAGUUCGCUUUGGAAACUGUCAAACUUGAGUGCAGAAGGGGAGAGUGGAAUUCCAUGUGUAGCGGUGAAAUGCGUAGAUAUAUGGAGGAACACCGGUGGCGAAAGCGGCUCUCUGGUCUGUAACUGACGCUGAGGCUCGAAAGCGUGGGGAGCGAACAGGAUUAGAUACCCUGGUAGUCCACGCCGUAAACGAUGAGUGCUAGGUGUUGGAUCCUUUCCGGG